rnacentral:tmRNA from 1 species
CGUGUCAGAAAAUUACACUAUGACAGAAACAACUACCAUCUCUGGACAAACAUCAUCUGGAUUUUCAUUUCAUGUGCCUAUCAUGGUCAUAGUGUUGAUUUUGCUGAUUAUUGGACUGUUGCUGUAUGGAGCAUAUAAGUGCUUUUUCUGGGUUAUGUACAAGCGGGCACAGAUAAUGGGGUUGCCAGCCCAAGCACUCUUGUCACGUGUAAAGGUGUAAAAAUCAUUGUACAAACUUGACUAAAUAAAGAUUAUUUUAUUGAAAAAGAGAUGUAUGAUAUCUUGUUUGUUGUCAUCACGUAACAGGUCAUAACACACGCAAUUAGAACAUCAUCAGACAUUGUAUGUGUUUUGGAUUGGAAGGUUAUGGUUUUGUUCUUGUGGUAUAUACAUUUGGUAUUUUUUAUCUGUUCAAUCAGAUAGGAGAUUGGGUCACUAGACAGCAGGACAGUGUUAGAUACCACGGUUUGGCUGGCACAGAGCAAUCCCUGGUUCAAUGAAGAGAUAAAGUUUUGGAAGGCCAGUGUCUUGUCUCCACUCAACAUAUAAAUAGGCCAUUGCAUUCCAGUCUUGUCUCUGUAGGAGGCAAACAGGGUUGGUAGUUUAAUGUUGUGGGAAAUAAAAGUUGCUAUGGCUACAGCUGAGUCUUGAUUGCUAUUUCCCUCUAUUAUACACCUGAUUUCUUGAAUCCAGGGGUGUUGAAACAAUAUUCCCUCCAACAGAGCAGUGGCACAUGAGGCUAUGUUGUGAGCAGCAGUUCCAGUGAGGUUGUUCAGGAAGAAAUGUUCCAACCCUAAGAUAAUACACUUUUUAGUGUGUUUACAGUGACUCAUGGCAACUAUACCAGUUCCAGAGGCGUGGACGUUGUUUCCAUAGGCGGGGUCAAUAUACACAAAAAGUGUAUUUUCUGUAGUUGGGGCCCCCUGGCCCGCAGUGUCACACCUAUAAAAGUCUAGCCGGGUCAGACUGGACUCGUGUAUCAUACUGUUCCCAGAGACUUCCGUGUGUGAUUGCAUAUUGCCCAUUAAUUCUGUGGCAAAUGAUCCCUCUAGCAGUAAAUUGGUGGUACACUUUAUAUUAUCAUUGAUGGUGAUAAAUUCUGGAACAUACAGGCGAUAGCAAGGGCAGGCAGUGAUUGCGCUCUGUUUGUUGAAGUCUUCCAUAUGUUCGCUACAGACAUAGCUGACAACGUUCACCAUCUUCUCAUUGGCAUCUUUGAGGUUAUACAAAAAACUUGUUGUCUUCUCUCCUGAAUUUACAGAGGAGAUAAAAAAGAUCUUGGCAUCCUUCUGUAACAUAAACCCCAAGAUUGCUGGAAGUGCUUCCUUCUUUAUGAAAUUUGCUUCAUCAACAAACAGUAGAUUAAAUGUCUGCCCCCGGAUGCUCUGUGAAUAAAUCAAAGAAUCUGGUUACUGAUCAGGAUCUCCUGGAUGUGGUGAAUUUUUUUAACAGACCAUUACAUGCUCUCAUUGCUGAGGUGUCAAAAACCACUUCUGAUUUGGAACUUGUCAGGUCAACCACCCAAGGUAUUGAAAAUAUCUGUCUCCUGCUAGACUUGGUAGGAACAGAAUGUAUAAAAGAUGCAAGCGCGGCCAAGACAAGUGUAUGAUGCGGCCUCUUUCUAACCCUUUAACAGAGGCCUAUAACGUGCAAAAUUUGUACCAGUGUCUAAAUUGUGAUGAUUAUCACUUGUGUAAUGGUUCUCUCAACUGUGAUCCUCUGGUGGAUCGAGAGGGAAUUGUGUGCACAGUCACUGGAAAGUAUAUCCAGUGUAAUGUCAGGGAAUCACCCAUGUGUGGGGCAGCGUGUCUGGACGUGGACAUUCACCCAGAGGACAAUACAGACUGCAUUCUGCGGGCACUGUUUGGUGACAUUGUAGAUAUUAUUAAUAAAUUGGAUGAUAUUGCUGAAAUUAAAGAUAAGAUCCUCGCUGGAGACUCCCUAAAUGAGCACAUCAAGAAGAAAAUUGAGUGUACCUUUCCAAUGUGCGCCAACAUCAUUAAUUGUAAUAGCCAAGGCUAUUCCAUACUUUGUAGCAUGUUUGUCCAUAUUAUUAUGUCAAUCUAUGCCAACAAAACCAUAUAUGGCCACAUGCUAUUUAAAUGCACCAGAAAUAAAAAGUAUGACACCAUUGCCAAGAAAAUUAGAGAGAAAUGGAUGUAUUUAGAAUAAAUAAAAAAAGUGUUCCUUUACAACAA